rnacentral:rRNA from 1 species
UACGUAGGCAGCGAGCGUUGUUCGGAAUUACUGGGCGUAAAGGGCGCGUAGGCGGCGUGUCAAGUCAGGCGUGAAAGCCCCGGGCUCAACCUGGGAACCGCGCUUGAGACUGGCAUGCUCGAGUUCGGGAGAGGAUGGUGGAAUUCCCAGUGUAGAGGUGAAAUUCGUAGAUAUUGGGAAGAACACCGAUGGCGAAGGCAGCCAUCUGGACCGACACUGACGCUGAGGCGCGAAAGCGUGGGGAGCAAACAGG